UGAGACAGGUGCUGCAUGGCUGUCGUCAGCUCGUGUUGUGAAAUGUUGGGUUAAGUCCCGCAACGAGCGCAACCCUUAUCCUUUGUUGCCAGCGGUUAGGCCGGGAACUCAAAGGAGACUGCCAGUGAUAAACUGGAGGAAGGUGGGGAUGACGUCAAGUCAUCAUGGCCCUUACGAGUAGGGCUACACACGUGCUACAAUGGCAUAUACAAAGAGAAGCGACCUCGCGAGAGCAAGCGGACCUCAUAAAGUAUGUCGUAGUCCGGAUUGGAGUCUGCAACUCGACUCCAUGAAGUCGGAAUCGCUAGUAAUCGUGGAUCAGAAUGCCACGGUGAAUACGUUCCCGGGCCUUGUACACACCGCCCGUCACACCAUGGGAGUGGGUUGCAAAAGAAGUAGGUAGCUUAACCUUCGGGAGGGCGCUUACCACUUUGUGAUUCAUGACUGGGGUGAAGUCGUAACAAGGUAACCGUAGGGGAACCUGCGGUUGGAUCACCUCCUUA
rnacentral:rRNA from 1 species